rnacentral:rRNA from 1 species
CCCUUAGAUGUUCUGGGCCGCACGCGCGCUACACUGACGAUGGCAACGAGUUUUUCCUUCGCCGAAAGGUGUGGGUAAUCUUUUGAAACAUCGUCGUGCUGGGGAUAGAUCAUUGCAAUUUUUGAUCUUGAACGAGGAAUUCCUAGUAAGCGCAAGUCAUCAACUUGCAUUGAUUACGUCCCUGCCCUUUGUACACACCGCCCGUCGCACCUACCGAUUGAAUGGUCCGGUGAAGCCUCCGGAUUGGCGCGCACCUCGGUGCCGCCGAGAAGUUGGCUAAACCUUACCAUUUAGAGGAAGGUGAAGUCGUAACA